UACGGAGGGUGCAAGCGUUGUUCGGAAUCACUGGGCGUAAAGCGCGUGUAGGCGGCUAUCUAAGUCUGAUGUGAAAGCCCUGGGCUCAACUCAGGAAGUGCAUUGGAUACUGGAUAGCUGGAGUACCGGAGAGGAGGGUGGAAUUCCUGGUGUAGCGGUGAAAUGCGUAGAUAUCUGGAGGAACACCGGUGGCGAAGGCGACAUCCUGGACCGGUAUUGACGCUGAGGCGCGAAAGCCAGGGGAGCAAACGGG
rnacentral:rRNA from 1 species